rnacentral:rRNA from 1 species
AGAGUUUGAUCAUGGCUCAGAACGAACGCUGGCGGCGUGGAUAAGACAUGCAAGUCGAACGAGAAACUUUUGGAGCUUGCUUUGGAAGUUUCUAGUGGCGAACGGGUGCGUAACACGUGAGUAACCUGCCCAAGAGAGGGGGAUAGCUCGAGGAAACUCGAAUUAAUUCCUGAGACGACUAAAGGUGGGGAUCUUAGGACCUGCCGCUCUUGGAUGGACUCGCGGCCUAUCAGCUUGUUGGUGAGGUAAAAGCUCACCAAGGCUACGACGGGUAACUGGUCUGAGAGGAUGAUCAGUCACACUGGAACUGAGACACGGUCCAGACACCUACGGGUGGCAGCAGUCGAGAAUCAUUCGCAAUGGACGAAAGUCUGACGGUGCGACGCCGCGUGGAGGAUGAAGGCCCUAGGGUUGUAAACUCCUGUCAUCAGAGAGUAAGGUUUUCCGGAGGUAAUGCCUGGAAAGCUGAUAGUAGCAGAAGAGGAAGGGACGGCUAACUUCUUGCCAGCAGCCGCGGUAAUACGAAGGUCCCAAGCGUUGUUCGUAAUCACUGGGCGUAAAGAGUAUGUAGGCGGUGUGGUAAGUCAGAUGUGAAAUCCCGGGGCUCAACCUCGGAACUGCAUCCGAUACUACCUGGCUAGAGUAUUAGAAGGGAGUCUGGAAUUCUAGGUCUAGCAGUUAAAUGCGUAGCUAUCGAGAGGAACACUAGUGGCGAAGGCGAGACUCAGGACAAUAACUGACGCUGAGAUACGAAGGCCAGGGUAGCGAAAGGGAUUAGAUACCCUUGUAGUCCUGGCAGUAAACGGUGCACGCUUGGUGUGGGAGGAUUCGACCCCUUCCGUGCCGGAGCUAACGCGUUAAGCGUGCCGCCUGGGGAGUACGGCCGCAAGGCUAAAACUCAAAGAAAUUGACGGGGACCCGCACAAGCGGUGGAGCAUGUGGCUUAAUUCGAUGCAACGCGAAGAACCUUACCUAGACUUGACAUGCUCAUCAUACCCUCCCGAAAAGGAGGGUGACCCUUCGGGGACCUUGCACAGGUGCUGCAUGGCUGUCGUCAGCUCGUGUCGUGAGAUGUUUGGUUAAGUCCAGCAACGAGCGCAACCCCUGUGAUCUGUUGCCAGCACGUAAUGGUGGGGACUCUGAUCAGACUGCCCAGAUCAACUGGGAGGAAGGUGGGGAUGACGUCAAGUCUGUAUGGCCCUUACGGCCAGGGCUGCACACGUACUACAAUGCCCAGUACAAUGUGAACCGAGACCGCGAGGUGGAGGAAAUCCUUAAAACUGGGCUCAGUUCGGAUUGGAGGCUGCAACUCGCCUCCAUGAAGUCGGAAUCGCUAGUAAUGGCGCAUCAGCUACGGCGCCGUGAAUACGUUCCCGGGUCUUGUACACACCGCCCGUCACAUCAUGGAAGCCGGCCACACCCGAAGUGUCUACAAUAAGAAG